AGCACCUCAAGUGGUCAGGAUGAUUAUUGGGCCUAAAGCAUCCGUAGCCUGUUCUACAAGUCUUCGGUUAAAUCCAUCAACUCAAGUGAUGGGCUGCCGAAGAUACUGCAGAACUAGGGAGUGGGAGAGGUAGACGGUACUCGGUAGGAAGGGGUAAAAUCCUUUGAUCUAUUGAUGACCACCUGUGGCGAAGGCGGUCUACCAGAACACGUUCGACGGUGAGGGAUGAAAGCUGGGGGAGCAAACCGG
rnacentral:rRNA from 1 species